UACGAAGGGUGCAAGCAUUACUCGGAAUUACUGGGCGUAAAGCGUGCGUAGGUGGUUCGUUAAGUCUGUCGUGAAAGCCCCGGGCUCGACCUGGGAAUGGCGAUGGAUACUGGCGGGCUAGAGUGCGGUAGAGGAGAGUGGAAUUCCCGGUGUAGCAGUGAAAUGAGUAGAGAUCGGGAGGAACAUCAGUUGCGAAGGCGGCUCUCUGGAUCAGCACUGACACUGAGGCACGAAAGCGUGGGGAGCAAACAGG
rnacentral:rRNA from 1 species